rnacentral:rRNA from 1 species
AUUGAACGCUGGCGGCAUGCCUUACACAUGCAAGUCGAACGGCAGCAUGCAGAGCUUGCUCUCUGAUGGCGAGUGGCGAACGGGUGAGUAAUGCAUCGGAACGUACCGUGUAAUGGGGGAUAACGUAGCGAAAGUUACGCUAAUAGCGCAUACGACCUGAGGGUGAAAGCAGGGGAUCGCAAGACCUUGCGUUAUACGAGCGGCCGAUGUCAGAUUAGCUAGUUGGUGAGGUAAAGGCUCACCAAGGCGACGAUCUGUAGCGGGUCUGAGAGGAUGAUCCGCCACACUGGGACUGAGACACGGCCCAGACUCCUACGGGAGGCAGCAGUGGGGAAUUUUGGACAAUGGGGGCAACCCUGAUCCAGCCAUGCCGCGUGAGUGAAGAAGGCCUUCGGGUUGUAAAGCUCUUUCGGCCGGGAAGAAAUCGCACAGGCUAAUACUCUGUGUGGAUGACGGUACCGGCAUAAGAAGCACCGGCUAACUACGUGCCAGCCGCCGCCGUAA